rnacentral:rRNA from 1 species
UACGUAGGGUGCAAGCGUUGUCCGGAAUUAUUGGGCGUAAAGAGCUUGUAGGCGGUUUGUCGCGUCCGUUGUGAAAGCCCCGGGCUCAACCUGGGAAUGGCAAUGGAAACUGGCGGGCUAGAGUGUGGCAGAGGGGGGUGGAAUUCCGCGUGUAGCAGUGAAAUGCGUAGAGAUGCGGAGGAACACCGAUGGCGAAGGCAGCCCCCUGGGCUGACACUGACGCUCAGGCACGAAAGCGUGGGGAGCAAACAGG